rnacentral:lncRNA from 1 species
GGGACUACAGGCACACGCCAUUGCACCUGGGUAGUUUUUUUUUUUUUUUUUAAAUAGAGACGGGAUCUCUCUAUAUUGCCCAGGCUGGUCUUGAACUCCUGGCCUCAAGCAAUCCUCCCACCCCGACCUCCCAGAGCACUGGGAUUACAGGUGAGAGCCACUGCACCUGGCCCUUUUUUAAAAAAUUAAUAUUGUUAUUGACGUAUAACAUGCAUGCACAAAAGUGAAUGAAUCAUAAGUGUUCGGCACAAAGCGUACAUAUCCUGUCACCAGUGCCCAGAUCAGGAAAAGAAACAGAACACUACCAAACCAAACCCCGCAGAAAAUACUUUGCAUUUUUUUCUAGUUACAAACCACCCUUCCAAGGGUAACCACUAUUUUGAAUGCUACAAUCACAGAUUGGUUUCACCUGCUCUUCAACUUCAUAUAAAUGAAAUCACACAGUAUGUUCUCUUUUGGAGUCUGGUUUCUUUCACUCAUCAUUUUGCUUGUGGCAUUCAUCCAUGUUCUGUGCCAUUGUAGUUUUCCAUUCUCAUGACUGUGUAGUAUUCCAUAUUAAUAGACCACAGUUUAUUAUUUGUAUACCAUUGAUGGAUAUUUGGGCUGUGUGCAGAUUUUGGCUAUUACAAACAGUGCUACUGUAAAUAUGAAUGUCUUGGUGAAUGGAUAUAUACACAUAUACAUACCUGAAUGUAUGUAUACAUACAUAUACAUACCUGAAUGUAUGUAUACAUACAUAUACAUACCUGAAUGUAUGUAUACAUACAUAUACAUACCUGAAUGUAUGUAUACAUACAUAUACAUACCUGAAUGUAUGUAUACAUACAUAUACAUACUUGUGUAUAUACAUAUAUAUUUCUGCUGGGUAUAAACUUAGAAGUGGAGUUGCUGGAUCAUAGUUUUAAUAGUAGUGCCAAAGCAGUCGUACCAGUUAUACUCACACUAGCAAAGUAGGCAAGUUCUGGUUGCUCCAAAUUUUUGCUAAUAUUUGAUAUUAUCUUCCUUUUUCAUUGUACUUAUUCUGGUGGGUAUGUAGUAAUAUUGUACUGUAGUCUGAAUGUGCGUUUUGAGGAUAGUGGCCAUUUGUGUAUCCUCUUUGCAAAAUGCCUCUUCAGAUCAUUUGCUUAUUUUUCUAUUGGGUUGCCUGUCUUAAUGGUUUGUAGGAAGCACUUUAUAUAUUGUUGGAUAUACGUAUUAUGAAGAUUUUCACUCCUCGGUAGCUUUGGGUAUCCAUUUCCUUAGUGAUAUUCCUAAGUUUAACCCAUGUGAAAAUAUUAGAAUUGUAUAUAGUGCUUUGCACAGGAAUAUAUUAUUCUUUGUUAGCUAUGUUGAAGUUGGGGCUACAUGCUAUCACUACUCAUCUACAAAGGUACUCUUGGGAUACUGGUUAUGCAGGCUGGAGCAGGGACUCUUGAAGUUUCUGGCAUAUUAAGUGCUGGCAUCUUUGGGGUUAUAUAAAAAUAAAAACUGCUAAUAUCCAAGUGUUUACUGUGUGCCAUAUAGUGUUCUAAGCACUUCACAUGGCCUAGCUCAUUUAUUCCUCAUAUAAGCUUAUCAGUUAAGUGCUAUUAUUAUUCCCAUUUUCGAGUGAGGAAACUGAGACUCAGAGAAAUCUUAUAAUUGCCCAGGGUCACACAACUGAGAUUCCAGUUGCAGAGGCCAUACUCUUAACCAUUGUACCACAUAGAAAGUUGCAUUUCCCUAAACUGCUGUUUUAUUAUAGUGCUGGAUUAGUGGCUGGCACAU